rnacentral:rRNA from 1 species
UACGUAGGGUGCAAGCGUUGUCCGGAAUUAUUGGGCGUAAAGAGCUCGUAGGCGGUCUGUCGCGUCGGCUGUGAAAUCCCGGAGCUCAACUCCGGGCCUGCAGUCGAUACGGGCAGACUGGAGUUCGGCAGGGGAGACUGGAAUUCCUGGUGUAGCGGUGAAAUGCGCAGAUAUCAGGAGGAACACCGGUGGCGAAGGCGGGUCUCUGGGCAGUAACUGACGCUGAGGAGCGAAAGCGUGGGGAGCAAACAGG